UACAGAGGUCUCAAGCGUUGUUCGGAUUCAUUGGGCGUAAAGGGUGCGUAGGUGGCGCGGUAAGUCGGGUGUGAAAUCUCGGAGCUUAACUCCGAAAUUGCAUUCGAUACUGCCGUGCUUGAGGACUGGAGAGGAGACUGGAAUUCAUGGUGUAGCAGUGAAAUGCGUAGAGAUCAUGAGGAAGACCAGUGGCGAAGGCGGGUCUCUGGGCCGAUACUGACGCUGAGGAGCGAAAGCGUGGGGAGCGAACAGG
rnacentral:rRNA from 1 species